rnacentral:rRNA from 1 species
AUUGAACGCUGGCGGCAGGCCUAACACAUGCAAGUCGAAUGGUAACAGGAAACAGCUUGCUGUUUCGCUGACGAGUGGCGGACGGGUGAGUAAUGUCUGGGAAACUGCCUGAUGGAGGGGGAUAACUACUGGAAACGGUAGCUAGUACCGCAUAACGUCGCAAGACCAAAGAGGGGGACCUUCGGGCCUCUUGCCAUCAGAUGUGCCCAGAUGGGAUUAGCUAGUAGGUGGGGUAACGGCUCACCUAGGCGACGAUCCCUAGCUGGUCUGAGAGGAUGACCAGCCACACUGGAACUGAGACACGGUCCAGACUCCUACGGGAGGCAGCAGUGGGGAAUAUUGCACAAUGGGCGCAAGCCUGAUGCAGCCAUGCCGCGUGUAUGAAGAAGGCCUUCGGGUUGUAAAGUACUUUCAGCGGGGAGGAAGGGAGUAAAGUUAAUACCUUUGCUCAUUGACGUUACCCGCAGAAGAAGCACCGGCUAACUCCGUG